AUUGAACGCUGGCGGCAGGCCUAACACAUGCAAGUCGAACGAGUGGCGGACGGGUGAGCAAUGUCUGGGAAACUGCCUGAUGGAGGGGGAUAACUACUGGAAACGGUAGCUAAUACCGCAUACCAUCAGAUGUGCCCAGAUGGGAUUAGCUAGUUGGUGGGGUAACGGCUCACCAAGGCGACGAUCCCUAGCUGGUCUGAGAGGUUGACCAGCCAGACUGGAACUGAGACACGGCCCAGACUCGUACGGGAGGAAGCAGUGGGGAAUAUGGCACAAUGGGCGAAAGCCUGAUGUAGCAAUGCCGCGUGUAUGAAGAAGGCUUUCGGAUUGUAAAGUACUUUCAGGGGGGAGGCGUUACCCGAAGAAGAAGCACCGGCUAACUCCGUGCCAGCAGCCGCGGUAAUUC
rnacentral:rRNA from 1 species